AGAGAAUAAGAAAUAGGGACAGAAUAGGUAGUUUUAUGCCAAGGUUAGAGGGUGGCAACUAUUCCCAGUUCCAUCAGAAAUUCUCAAUCAUAGCUAUGCCUUCAAAAAGUACAUUAGUGCCUAAGUUUAGGAAUGACAGUCGAGAUAGAGCACCAGGAUCUAAGUUAUAGGGUAGUGGGUAGGGUUUUCGUUCUAAUAUGCUUGGCAAAGAAUGUGGUAGGAAUUAUUAGGGUGUGAGUAGGUUUGGUAGUGGUUUGUAUUUUGGAUGUGGCAAGCUAGGCCACAGAGCUAGAGAAUGUCCUAAGGUUGGUCAGCAGAGUCGGCACCAUUUUCCUCCAGUCCCAUCAGAUCGUCCAACUUAGCAGGGCACCUCUUCUAGUGCCACCAGCAGUUAGCUC
rnacentral:lncRNA from 1 species